rnacentral:tRNA from 1 species
GCCACUUUAGCUCAAUGGUAGAGCAAUCGCUUUGUAAGCGAAAGGUUGUCGGUUCAAGUCCGACAAGUGGCU